rnacentral:tRNA from 1 species
GCGCCUGUAGCUCAAUAGGAUAGAGCACCUGCCUUCUAAGCCGGUUGUUGGCCGUUCGAUUCGGCCCAGGCGCGCCA